GUACACGCUGUGACUAGCAUAUCAAUAAGCGGAGGAAAAGAAACUAACAAGGAUUCCCCUAGUAACGGCGAGUGAAGCGGGAAGAGCUCAAAUUUGAAAUCUUAAAGAGUUUCCCUUUACGAAUUGUAGUUUAAAGAAGUGUUUUCUGUUGAGGUUUUGGUAAAAGUUCUUUGGAAUAGGACAUCAUAGAGGGUGAGAAUCCCGUAUUUGACCUUUACUUUCAACUUUGUGAUACACUUUCAAAGAGUCGGAUUGUUGGGAAUGCAGUCCAAAAUGGGUGGUAAAUUUCAUCUAAAGCUAAAUAUUGGCGAGAGACCGAUAGCGAACAAGUACCGUGAGGGAAAGAUGAAAAGAACUUUGAAAAGAGAGUUAAACAGUACGUGAAAUUGUCAAAAGGGAAGCGUUUGACACCAGUGUUGUUUUUCUGAAAAUCAAUUAAAGAACUGUUUAUGCUAAGUUGUUUAGACUUUAUCAGCUAACUGUUUAGUUUUGAGCUUUUCUUUAAUGCACUUUUCAGUUAACAAGUCAACAUCAAUUUCUUUUGCUGUAAAAAAGCUUGAGGGAGGUGGCUUGAGAUUCGUCUUAAGUGUUUAUAGCCUCUUGCCUAUGCAGUCGGAGAGAUUGAGGUCUGCAGCGUAGAUCCUUCGGGGCUAAAUGCAUUUGUGCUAAGUUAUAGCAUUUUAUAGACAACUUGUUGACUAUGGAUUUGUCUUGUAGCUUACUCGCUUAUGUUAUUUUACCUACGCUUAGGAUGUUGAUAUGCAUGACUGAUAU
rnacentral:rRNA from 1 species